UGCAACCUACGGGGGGCAGCAGUGGGGGAUAUUGCACAAUGGGGGGAACCCUGAUGCAGCGACGCCGCGUGGGUGAAGGAGUAUUUCGGUAUGUAAAGCCCUAUCGGCAGGGAAGAAGAAAGACGGUACCUGACUAAGAAGCCCCGGCUAACUGCGUGCCAGCAGCCGCGGUAAUACGUAGGGGGCGAGCGUUAUCCGGAUUUACUGGGUGUAAAGGGAGCGCAGGCGGCACGGCAAGCCUGAUGUGAAAGCCCGCGGCCCAACCGCGGGACUGCAUUGGGAACUACCGGGCUGGAGUGCCGGAG
rnacentral:rRNA from 1 species